GACGAACGCUGGCGGCGUGCCUAAUACAUGCAAGUAGAACGCUGAAGGAGGAGCUUGCUUCUCUGGAUGAGUUGCGAACGGGUGAGUAACGCGUAGGUAACCUGCCUGGUAGCGGGGGAUAACUAUUGGAAACGAUAGCUAAUACCGCAUAAUAGUAGAUGUUGCAUGACAUUUGCCUAAAAGGUGCAAUUGCAUCACUACCAGAUGGACCUGCGUUGUAUUAGCUAGUUGGUGGGGUAACGGCUCACCAAGGCGACGAUACAUAGCCGACCUGAGAGGGUGAUCGGCCACACUGGGACUGAGACACGGCCCAGACUCCUACGGGAGGCAGCAGUAGGAAAUCUUCGGCAAUGGACGGAAGUCUGACCGAGCAACGCCGCGUGAGUGAAGAAGGUUUUCGGAUCGUAAAGCUCUGUUGUAAGAGAAGAACGAGUGUGAGAGUGGAAAGUUCACACUGUGACGGUAUCUUACCAGAAAGGGACGGCUAACUACGUG
rnacentral:rRNA from 1 species